rnacentral:tRNA from 1 species
CUUUAGGUGGCUGAUUUAAGCAUUGGAAUUUUUAAACCAAAUUAUAGUAUAAAAUACUUCUAAUGA